AUUGAACGCUGGCGGCAGGCCUAACACAUGCAAGUCGAGCGGGUGAAGGGAUCUUGCUCCUGGAUUCAGCGGCGGACGGGUGAGUAAUGCCUAGUAAUCUGCCUGGUAGUGGGGGAUAACGUCCGAAAACGGGCGCUAAUACCGCAGGGGUCCUGAGGGAGAAAGUGGGGGAGCUUGGGACCGCACGCUAUCAGAUGAGCCUAGGUCGGAUUAGCGAGUUGGUGGGGUAACUGCCUACCAAGGCGACGAUGCGAAACUGGGACUAGGGGAUGAUCAGUCAGCUGGUAAGUGAGACACGGCCCCGACUCUUAGGGGAGGCAGCAGUCGGGACUCUUGCACAAUGCGCGAAAGCCUGAUCUAGCACUGUCGCGUGUGCGAAGAACGUCCUAGGACUCGAAAGUACUUUAAGUCGGGAGGAAGGGCAGUACGUUCAUACCUUGCUGUAUUGACGUUACCAACAGAAUAAGCCCCGGCUAACUUCGUG
rnacentral:rRNA from 1 species